rnacentral:rRNA from 1 species
CGGAAGGUGCAAGCGUUAAUCGGAAUCACUGGGCGUAAAGCGCUCGUAGGUUGCUUUGUAAGUCAGGUGUGAAAUCCCACGGCUCAACCGUGGAAUUGCACUUGAUACUGCAUUGCUUGAGUUCGGGAGAGGGUAGUGGAAUUCCAGGUGUAGGAGUGAAAUCCGUAGAGAUCUGGAGGAACACCGGUGGCGAAGGCGACUACCUGGACCGAUACUGACACUGAGGAGCGAAAGCGUGGGGGAGCAAACAGGAUU